rnacentral:rRNA from 1 species
CCUACGGGGCGCAGCAGUGGGGGAUAUUGGACAAUGGGGGAAACCCUGAUCCAGCGACGCCGCGUGAGUGAAGAAGUAUUUCGGUAUGUAAAGCUCUAUCAGCAGGGAAGAAAGACAUGACGGUACCUGAGUAAGACGCCCCUGCUAACUACGUGCCAGCAGCCGCGGUAAGGCGUGGGGGGCAAGCGUUAUCCGGAAUUGCUGGGUGUAAAGGGAGCGUAGACGGUAAUGCAAGUCUGGCGUGAAAGGCGGGGGCCCAACCCCCGGACUGCUCUGGAAACUGUGUAACUGGAGUGCAGGAGAGGCAGGCGGAAUUCCUAGGGUAGCGGUGAAAUGCGUAGAUAUUAGGAGGAACACCAGUGGCGAAGGCGGCCUGCUGGACUGUAACUGACGUUGAGGCUCGAAAGCGUGGGGAGCAAACAGGAUUAGAUACCCGGGUAAUC